rnacentral:rRNA from 1 species
ACUACGGGAGGCAGCAGUAGGGAAUAUUGCUCAAUGGGGGAAACCCUGAAGCAGCAACGCCGCGUGGAGGAUGAAGGUUUUCGGAUUGUAAACUCCUUUUGUUAGAGAAGAUAAUGACGGUAUCUAACGAAUAAGCACCGGCUAACUCCGUGCCAGCAGCUGCGGUAAUACGGGGGGGGCAAGCGUUACUCGGAAUUACUGGGCGUAAAGUGCGCGUAGGCGGGCUAGCAAGUCAGAUGUGAAAUCCUAUGGCUUAACCAUAGAACUGCAUGUGAAACUGUUAUUCUAGAGUAUGGGAGAGGUAGGUGGAAUGCUUGGUGUAGCGGUGAAAUCCGUAGAGAUCAAGAGGAAUACUCAUUGCGAAGGCGGCCUGCUAGACCAUAACUGACGCUGAUGCGCGAAAGCGUGGGGAGCAAACAGGAUUAGAUACCCUGGUAGUC